AAUGCUUCUUAUUUGCAACCAUGGAGACUAGAGUAAAGGAGUCCGAUCUCUAUUUGGGAGCAUCCGAAAAAUUCGUCCUCGAAAAUUUGUCGUUUAGUAGUUUUAGAUUUCAUCCAAAGCAUCGCUGCUUUCCAGCGAUU